rnacentral:hammerhead_ribozyme from 1 species
ACCCAGCUGAUGAGUUUCAAAUAGGACGAAACAUGUGUCGUGGAU